UACGGGGGGGGCAAGCGUUGUUCGGAAUUACUGGGCGUAAAGGGCUCGUAGGCGGCCAACUAAGUCGGAUGUGAAAUCCCCAGGCUUAACCUGGGAACUGCAUCCGAUAAUGGAUGGCUUGAAUCCGGGAGAGGGAUGCAGAAUUCCAGGUGUAGCGGUGAAAUGCGUAGAUAUCUGGAGGAAUACCGGUGGCGAAGGCGGCAUCCUGGACCGGCAUUGACGCUGAUGAGCGAAAGCUAGGGGAGCAAACGGG
rnacentral:rRNA from 1 species